rnacentral:tRNA from 3 species
UCCCCGGUAGCUCAGCUGGCAGAGCAAGCGGCUGUUAACCGCUGGGUCGUAGGUUCGAGUCCUACCCGGGGAGCCA